AGUGGCUGCUCCCGCCAGGACAGCUCAGGGGGAUGCUCCCGAGAAUCCUGAGCCCGCCUCCUGUCCCGGCCUGGUCUGGGGUCCCCAGACCCAGCCUCUGACGGGCCACCCCCAGCGCUGCCCUGCCCGCAGCUCCGGGCUACGCUCCCCACGAAGAGGCGCCGCAACCGCCUAGGACAUCGUGGGAAGCCUCCUGCGGGGACUUUCCACUGCUUGUCCCAGGAGCUUCUACAACAGACUGGCAUUGAGAGUUCAGUUACAUUUUCCGCUAGUUAUUCCCAUCCUGGCCCCCAAGCGUCUCAAGUCCCCGCCUUAGGCUCCUGGGGGGCCUCCCCUGCAAAGGCACCAGGUCCCCGACAUCUGCCAGUGAAUCGGCGUCCAAGGAGGACGGCGUGGCGGGGGCGGAAGCGACAACCACACGACCCAUGACAGUGGCCAAGCCUUAGAGGCCCCGAGUGCCUCUCAGGCGCCCGGGCCCAAGCUGUCCACGCUUCCCCGCCCCGGCAGGAACCAGCUGUUCCCGCUGCACCAGCCAGGGGGCUGGGGUCAUCCCUGCCAGGCCCGACCGUAGGCGUGGGCUCCAGAGCCCCCUCCCAACCGCCCCGUCCCAGGAGCGCGGGAAGCCUGGCUGUCGCCUGACAAUAAGAAAAUCAUCAUGGACAGAAGGAAAGCCGGGCGAGGCUGGGAAGGGAGCGGCUGUAAUUCGGCGCCGGCCCCCUUCAAUUCUCCAGCUCAGCGGCCCCAAAAGUGGGGUGGGGACGGUGAUUGAGGCUCAGCUCGCUUCUUCCUUCUUACAGGUCUCGCGCCUCUGAAGCGAACUGGGCCUGGAAGGAUGCUGAGGGUCGAGGGAAUGGGGCUGAGGGUUGACCCAGGGAAAGGUGGGGCCGGCCCCUGGGCUCCGGUUGGAGGCGGAUUCCCAGGCCGUGCAACUGCUCGCCCGUGCCCCACCCGCUCUGUGCUCUGUCAACCGAACAGCUCCGCCCUAGACUCGCGGCUGCGGAAGCGGCGGGCCGGGUGGUGAUUACAACCUGGGGGAGGGGGGCUCUCCUUUUGCAACCUGACCCCCAACUCCGCUCAAUAACCGAAUUUCCGGAAGCCGCGACCUGGAAGCUCUCGGCGCUUCUCCAUCGCUGGCACGGCAGGGACGCCCGGAAUCUCGGAGCCGCAGCUCCCGCCUGCAGCGCGCCUCAGCCGCCAGUGGGGAGCGCAGCGAAGCGGGGGUCCCCCGCGCAUCCGGAGCGAGGCAGGCGGGCCGGAGGCUGAGGACCGGCGACCUCGUGGGACGCCGGUGCCCGCCCCUACGGGGAGCAGAGGCAGCUCUGGAAGUCGGUUUAAGGCGGAGACCGCAACCGGAGGGGCGCAGAAUACUCCCCCUCCCAGCGUUCCGGGCUACGCGGGUACAAUUUUAAAACUAGCGGCGAAAUCCGAGUCCUGCGGCCGCGUGGUGGGUGGAACGUGGCUGCCUAGCCGAGUGCGGUCUCAGGCUGCCCCCGCUUCUGCGCCGCAAGGCCGCCCUUGAGUUCCAGGACUCUGUGGGCCCCGAGCCGCUGGCGCUCCCGGGAGUCUCCUAGCCGCGGCGGGAACGGAGCUGGGCGCCCAGACUGCGCCGGGGUCUUUUCUCUGCCCCCAGUGGCCGGAGCCGCAGACCUGCCCCUUCCCCACCGGGGCCGCGCCCUCAUUCCUCGCGGCGGUACCGCGCCGCAGCCCGGGAAACUCGCAGGCCCCAGGCGGCCCGGCUGCAGCUGCGGUGGUGAAGCUGGGCCCUGCGUGCACGUGAGGUGCCCAGCAGAAUCCCCGACCGCCCCGCGCCCGCGUUCUCGCCCACGACAGUGGCCGACGGCGGCGGCUGGUUCCCGGACCCGGGAGUCGGCCCUGGGACCUGCUGCUUCUCUUGGCUCCAGGCCCUCAGCCGUCUCCCUAGCCACAGCCUGCGGGGCCUAGAACUGCAGCCCCGGGCGUCCCCUCCUAAGCAGUGGCCAGGGUUGGCGGGGCGUGUGCGACCCUGGACCCAGAGAUCCGCAGCAGCCGCUGCCAAGCAUGGCGAGGAGCAGCGCAAGCCUCUCCCCACCGGGGCGGGGGACGGCGGACGUGGGUUAGGAACCGGCCCGGGACGUCCAGGCAGGAUCGGCCACCAUUCAGGGGCUGUCCCAGGCGCAGCACCAGAUGCUGCCGGUGGAAGCGGCCAGGGGCAGGCUCAGCCCGGCGCAGUGAGCAUAGACAGGGACCCAAAGUUUAUGCCAAAAACGUGUCUUCUCCAACCUCCUCCUCAAGCCCCUGUCUCAUGCUGGUUCCUAUUUCUUUCUUAUAAUAAAUAGGUCCUGUGUGCCUGGGAGCAGAGACUCGGCCCGUUCUCCCCAGACUCAGCUGUAGUCUUCAGGGACCUGGGCAAGGUCUGAUUAAACCUGCCCAUCUUUUGUGGAGGAAGGCCGGUUGCUCCCCUGGCCUUCACUGUGACACUAGGAGGCAAAGGCAGCCAGACCAAUUGCUGGUUUCAUCUGGGACUCCGCAGGUGAUAAGAUUGGCAAUGACAGGAACUGCAGAGCCAGAAAUACCGUCCACGCCUCUGCCUCAGGAAGCUCCCCUACCUCUGCCUGAUGAAGAGAGAGACUCCCCCUCAACAGCCAGCUUCCUGUCUUCUAGUCACAUCUUUCAAGUAAACGGGUAAAGAGAGGUCUUCUUGCCUUUUUUUGUAGAGGGGCCGUCUCACUAUGUUGCCCAGACUGGUCUCUAAUUCCUGGCUUCACGUGCUCCUCCUGUCUCGAGCUCCCAAAGCAUAGCAAUUACAGGUGUGAGCCAAGACACCCAGCAGCUUCUUACUCUUUAAAUGACACACAAAAUUCUCCUGGAGUUUCUGGAGGGGAUUGUCUCUUUGAACUCAGAAUCUUUCCCAGGACACCUUGAUCAAUCCAUCAGGCUCUUACUAGAUUGGAGGCUGAAGACACUGCAGCUCGGUGAACCCCUUUGCAAGGGUCUGCUCCGCAGCUCUUGAGGGGAGCGAAAGCAUUUUCAUCUGGCCUCACCCCAUCUGCAGCCAGCUCUUUCACUUCUGGAGCUGGGCUGAUUGUGAUAACCUGGAGGAGGGGGAAUUAGUUGGGAUGACUCACUUGCUGGAGCCCAUCAACACUGGCCCAGGCUUGUGGCCAGAUGCCUGGUUAACCAGCCCAAGAGAGCUUCCUUUCUCAGGAAGAGAAUGAUUAUUGAUUAUUGGUCCUCUUUACCCAUUCAUUGCCCAGGACAGUGUCAGGUGCACCACAGGCCCCUGGGCAUUUGUGUGGCAUCAUCAGCCUUAUGCCUGGAUCACCAAGUCAAACUUUCCUAUUAGCUCUUGGUGGCAAACUCGAAUUCCUUCUGUCAGAAGGCACCACAAGGCCCAGAUGUCCUGGGCCUCCCACCUUAGGCAAGCCCAACAUGACACAGAAACCCCUGACACCGAGCCAAGAUCUAUCCCCUUGUCUGGCUUGAAUUUCAGAUUUAUUAAUGGUGAGCCCUCCUGGCCCACAGUGGGACUCCCCUUGGCCUUACACAGGUAAUGCCUAUAUCCUGGCCUAGGCUUUUGCAAGAAUCCAGACUCUGGGAAGGACGUGGAGUGGAGGAAAAACCAGGCAGAGGGAACCCCAUGAUAUUGAGGGGCUCUGGGUGCUGUAUGGGACACCCCGCUGGAAACUUGCCCCUAAUGGGGCCUCAAAGCCAGGCAAGCAGGGGCUCCUUCUCUACCAGAGUUUAGAAGCCAGGACCGCAGCUUCCCAUCUUAUUCUCAGGAUGCAGGUUAGUUGUUUUCCCUCAGAUGAGGGAGUCUAAUGUUCCAGUUUUAUAAGAUGAAAAGAAGGGCUGAGGUGAGGCCCCUUCUGCCACUUUGCUGAGUCCAGAGCUGUGAUGAAGUGAAGAGGGAGAAAGCACAGGGCAGGACAAAGAAUGGGGCCCAGGGGCCUGGAAGUUUUCCUUGGCAGAAGUCAACUUGCCCCAUCCCUGAGAAAACUCUAACCUUCUCAGCUGCAGGGAGGAAGGCUGGGACUGGGGAGGAGAGGACAGGGAGGGGCAACAGUCUGGUGCUCUGUGCUCUAAGAGAGAAGUCUGAUGAUGGCAAGUGACCCAGGAAGGGUUAAGAAUAUUCCUAAAGUAGACAAGCCACAGCCUAAGCCAGUCCAUGAAUACCUCCUCUGAAGAGCAGAUCUGUAGCCUGAUCUUUGCCUCACUGCCUGCUGUCUGGCCUGGCUGUUAAUUAAGCCUCCCACCCUGUCCCUUCACCAACUCCUGUCAUAGUGGGGAUGGGGUAGGAGUAGUCAGAGGGGCCAAGUCUCCCCAGUCAACAGGGAACUCCAGCUGGGCCCAGGAGCACUGGGGCUCAGUGUCCACCCCCCAUCUACACUUCUGGUCUGAGUCAGGUAGGGGGACACAGGGGGACAGAGAGGCAAAGUGCAGGCCUUGUGCAUGGGAUGGAGGCUGCCAGAAUAGAGAGCAGCCAAAUUCUCCCACCCGCACACGUGCAUCACCAGCCAUGCUCAGGUGAGACUUCCAAGAUCAUCAUCAAACACCACCUUCUCCUAGCUGUGUGUUCCCCUUCACUUAGGGUACCUUGGAGUGGGAUGGACAGGGAGGAGUAGGGAGGGCCCUUCAUGAACAAACUAUGUCUUUGCUUCAGGGGCAAAACUGGGUACAUAAUUUAUGGGACCCAGUGUGAACUGAAAAUGUGGAAUACGUUGUCCAAAAAUUGUUAAGAAUUUCAAGACAGUGAUAGCAGAACAUUAAACCAAGUUCAGGUCCCUUCUGAGUGUGGGACCUUUGCCACUGCACAGGUGGCACCUCUGAAGCCAGCCUUGUGCAAGGGUUUGAUUUAAUGAACAUUUACUAAGAUCCCACUGCUCAGCUCUUCUGGCUCUGUGAUAUGAUCUGGCUCUGUGUCCCCACCCAGAUCUCAUCUUGGUUUUAAUCCACAUGUGUUGGGGGAGGGACCUCCUGGGAGGUGAUUAGAUCAUAGGAGUGGUUCCCCCAUGCCGUUCUCAUGAUAGUGAGUGAGUUCUCACAAUAUCUGAUGGUUUUAUAAGGGGCCUUUUCCUCUUUGUUCUGCACUUAUCUCUGAAUUGGCUCGGGAGAUAGUACCAUAAAGCCCCUGCGUUUGUGUCCGGCAGAUAACACGCAGAGCCCCACACCUAUCACCUUGUGAUGAUUUUAAGCCACUGCACCUGGAACUGUUUGUUUUCCUGUAACCAUUUGCCUUUUUAACUUUUUUGCCUGUUUUACUUCUGUAAGAUUGCUACAGCUAGAAUCCCCCUCCCCUCGCUAAAACAAAGUAUAAAAGAAAAUCUAUCCCCUUCUUAGGGGCCGAGAGAAUUUUGAGCGUUAGCCGUCUCUUGGUCGUCGGCUAAUAAAGGACUCCUUAAUUUGUCU